CCCUUAGAUGUUCUGGGCCGCACGCGCGCUACACUGUUCGACGCAGCGAGUCUUAACCUUGACCGAAAGGUUUGGGUAAUCUUCAGCAAAGUCGAACGUGAUGGGGAUCGAUCAUUGCAAUUAUUGAUCGUGAACGAGGAAUUCCUAGUAAGUGCAAGUCAUCAGCUUGCGCUGAUUACGUCCCUGCCCUUUGUACACACCGCCCGUCGCUACUACCGAUUGAAUGGUUUAGUGAGAUCUCCGGAUUGACGCUGGCUAGGGGGCGACCCUUGGCCAGACUGUUGGGAAACUGCUCAAACUUGAUCAUUUAGAGGAAGUAAAAGUCGUAACA
rnacentral:rRNA from 1 species